rnacentral:pre_miRNA from 1 species
AAUAGAUGACGCCGUUGACUUUUUCUCACAUGUUUGACCCUUCGUCUUAUUCAAAAAAUUUACGUAAUUAUAAUUUAUUUUAUUAUGAGUUAUUUUAUCAUUCAUAGUACUUUAAGUGUGAUUUAUAUCUUAUACAUUUGUAUAAAAUUUUUAAAUAAGACGAAUGGUCAAAUAUUUAAGAAAAAGUCAACGGCGUCAUCUAUU